rnacentral:rRNA from 1 species
UACGUAGGGGGCUAGCGUUGUCCGGAUUUAUUGGGCGUAAAGAGCGUGUAGGCGGCCAGGUAGGUCGGUUGUGAAAACUGGAGGCUCAACCUUCAGAGGUCGACCGAAACCAUCUGGCUAGAGUCCGGGAGAGGAGAGUGGAAUUCCUGGUGUAGCGGUGAAAUGCGCAGAUAUCAGGAAGAACACCAAUGGCGAAGGCAGCUCUCUGGGACGGUACUGACGCUGAGACGCGAAAGCGUGGGGAGCGAACAGG